AGUGAACGCUGGCGGUAGGCCUAACACAUGCAAGUCGAACGGCAGCACAGUAAUAGCUUGCUCUUACGGGUGGCGAGUGGCGGACGGGUGAGGAAUACAUCGGAAUCUACUUUUUCGGGGGGGAUAACGUAGGGAAACUUACGCUAAUACCGCAUACGACCUACGGGUGAAAGCAUGGGAUCUUCGGACCUUGCGCGAAUGAAUGAGCCGAUGUCGGAUUAGCUAGUUGGCGGGGUAAAGGCCCACCAAGGCGACGAUCCGUAGCUGGUCUGAGAGGAUGAUCAGACACACUGGAACUGAGACACGGUCCAGACUCCUACGGGAGGCAGCAGUGGGGAAUAUUGGACAAUGGGCGCAAGCCUGAUCCAGCCAUACCGCGUGGGUGAAGAAGGCCUUCGGGUUGUAAAGCCCUUUUGUUGGGAAAGAAAAGCAGCAGGUUAAUACCCCGCUGUUCUGACGGUACCCAAAGAAUAAGCACCGGCUAACUUCGUG
rnacentral:rRNA from 1 species